UACAGAGGGGGCAAGCGUUAUUCGGAAUUAUUGGGCGUAAAGGGCGCGUAGGCGGCCUGACAAGUGGAUGGUGAAAUUCCUCGGCUUAACCGAGGAACUGCCAUCCAGACUGUUUGGCUUGAGACCGGGAGAGGUGAGUGGAAUUCCCAGUGUAGCGGUGAAAUGCGUAGAUAUUGGGAGGAACACCAGUGGCGAAGGCGGCUCACUGGACCGGUACUGACGCUGAUGCGCGAAAGCGUGGGGAGCAAACGGG
rnacentral:rRNA from 1 species